UCCUACGGGAGGCAGCAGUGGGGAAUUUUGGACAAUGGGGGCAACCCUGAUCCAGCCAUGCCGCGUGAGUGAAGAAGGCCUUCGGGUUGUAAAGCUCUUUCGGCCGGGAAGAAAUCGGCGACUCUAACAUAGUCGCUGGAUGACGGUACCGGACUAAGAAGCACCGGCUAACUACGUGCCAGCAGCCGCGGUAAUACGUAGGGUGCGAGCGUUAAUCGGAAUUACUGGGCGUAAAGCGUGCGCAGGCGGUUUUGUAAGACAGAUGUGAAAUCCCCGGGCUUAACCUGGGAACUGCGUUUGUGACUGCAAGGCUAGAGUACGGCAGAGGGGGGUGGAAUUCCACGUGUAGCAGUGAAAUGCGUAGAGAUGUGGAGGAACACCGAUGGCGAAGGCAGCCCCCUGGGCCUGUACUGACGCUCAUGCACGAAAGCGUGGGGAGCAAACAGGAUUAGAUACCCUGGUAGUCCACGCCCUAAACGAUGUCGACUAGUCGUUCGGAGCAGCAAUGCACUGAGUGACGCAGCUAACGCGUGAAGUCGACCGCCUGGGGAGUACGGCCGCAAGGUUAAAACUCAAAGGAAUUGACGGA
rnacentral:rRNA from 1 species